UACGGGGGGGGCAAGCGUUGUUCGGAAUUACUGGGCGUAAAGGGCUCGUAGGCGGCCAACUAAGUCAGACGUGAAAUCCCUCGGCUUAACCGGGGAACUGCGUCUGAUACUGGAUGGCUUGAAUCCGGGAGAGGGAUGCGGAAUUCCAGGUGUAGCGGUGAAAUGCGUAGAUAUUGGGAGGAACACCAGUGGCGAAGGCGGCUCACUGGACCGGUACUGACGCUGAUGCGCGAAAGCGUGGGGAGCAAACGGG
rnacentral:rRNA from 1 species